rnacentral:rRNA from 1 species
AUUGAACGCUGGCGGCAGGCCUAACACAUGCAAGUCGAACGAGUGGCGGACGGGUGAGUAAUGUCUGGGAAACUGCCUGAUGGAGGGGGAUAACUACUGGAACCGGUAGCUAAUACCGCAUACCAUCGGAUGUGCCCAGAUGGGCUGAGCUAGUGGGUGGGGUAACGGCUCACCUAGGCGAGGAUCCCUAGCUGGUCUGAGAGGAUGACCAGCCACACUGGAACGUGGACCCGGUCCAACCUCCUACGGGAGGCAGCGUUGGGGAAUAUUGCACAAUGGGCGCAAGCCUGAUGCAGCCAUGCCGGGUGUAUGAAGAAGGCCUUCGGGUUGUAAAGUACGUUCAGCGGGGAGGCGUUACCCGCAGAAGAAGCACCGGCUAACUCCGUGCCAGCAGCCGCGGUAAUAC